UACGGAGGGUGCAAGCGUUAUCCGGAUUCACUGGGUUUAAAGGGUGCGUAGGAGGGCAGGUAAGUCAGUGGUGAAAUCCCCGAGCUUAACUUGGGACUGCCGUUGAUACUAUCUGUCUUGAAUAUUGUGGAGGUAAGCGGAAUAUGUCAUGUAGCGGUGAAAUGCUUAGAUAUGACAUAGAACACCAAUUGCGAAGGCAGCUUGCUACACAACUAUUGACUCUGAUGCACGAAAGCGUGGGGAUCAAACAGG
rnacentral:rRNA from 1 species